rnacentral:rRNA from 1 species
CAAUAGCGUAUAUUAAAGUUGUUGCAGUUAAAAAGCUCGUAGUUGGAUUUCGGGGCAGCCUGGCUGGUCCGCCGCAAGGCGAGUACUGGUCAGCCGCCCUUCCUCUCGAAAGCCCCGACUGCUCUUCGUUGCAGUGGUAGGGUAGUUCGGGACGUUUACUUUGAAAAAAUUAGAGUGUUCAAGGCAGGCCUACGCCUGAAUACAUUAGCAUGGAAUAAUGGAAGAGGACCUCGGUCCUAUUUUGUUGGUUUCCAGGGCCGAAGUAAUGAUUAAGAGGGACAGUUGGGGGCAUUCGUAUUUAAUUGUCAGAGGUGAAAUUCUCGGAUUUAUGAAAGACGAACAACUGCGAAAGCAUUUGCCAAGGAUGUUUUCAUUAA